rnacentral:rRNA from 1 species
AGAGUUUGAUCAUGGCUCAGGACGAACGCUGGCGGCGUGCCUAACACAUGCAAGUCGAACGGGACCGGGGGCAACUCCGGUUCAGUGGCGGACGGGUGCGUAACACGUGAGGAACAUGACUUUCGGUGGGGGAUAGCCGGCCCAACGGCCGGGUAAUACCGCGUACGACCUUUCGGGGACAUCCCCGGUUGGUGAAAGCAGCAAUGCGCCGAAAGAGUGCCUCGCGGCCUAUCAGCUAGUUGGUGGGGUAAUGGCCCACCAAGGCGACGACGGGUAGCUGGUCUGAGAGGAUGGCCAGCCACAUUGGGACUGAGACACGGCCCAGACUCCUACGGGAGGCAGCAGUGGGGAAUAUUGCGCAAUGGGCGAAAGCCUGACGCAGCGACGCCGCGUGUGGGAUGACGGCCUUCGGGUUGUAAACCACUGUCGGGAGGGACGAAUGCCCCGCAAGGGGAGUGACGGUACCUCCAAAGGAAGCACCGGCUAACUCCGUGCCAGCAGCCGCGGUAAUACGGAGGGUGCAAGCGUUGUCCGGAAUCACUGGGCGUAAAGGGCGCGUAGGCGGCCUGGUAAGUAGGGGGUGAAAUCCUGCGGCUUAACCGCAGGGCUGCCUUCUAAACUGUCAGGCUUGAGCACGGUAGAGGCAGAUGGAAUUCCCGGUGUAGCGGUGGAAUGCGUAGAGAUCGGGAAGAACAUCAGUGGCGAAGGCGGUCUGCUGGGCCGUUGCUGACGCUGAGGCGCGACAGCGUGGGGAGCAAACAGGAUUAGAUACCCUAGUAGUCC